AAUAACAAAUUCCGUUAAAAAGCAUCAAAUUUUGUUAAAUUUAUUAUUAUUUUAAGUUUAUCGUUUUAAAUUUUUUUUAAUUAAAAAAAGUCAAAACCCUCGAUUCUAGCCACACUACCUCUCCUUCACCGUCUCCCUACCCCAAGCCCUUUCCCCUCACCACCCUCCCCGCCGUUAUCCCUUUUUCCAAUCGUUCAUCCAUCGCAACUCUUUUCACCUUUGAUUCCUCACCUAGCCCCUUUCCCAUCCCACGGUUUCAAAGAUCACUGAAGUUAGGUUUUUGUUGGUGGAAGUUUUUCAAAGCUUUUCAGGUGGUGGAUAGACUUUUUCAAUGGGUUAAGGUGGUGGGUGGUGCUUUUCAAACAGGUGGUAAGGCACGACUAGUGCUUAGUGAUGUAAUAGGGUUGCACAACAAGUGGGUAGUAGGAGGUGGAGCUGGGUGGCGUGUCUGACGAUAGCUUGUGCGGCUAGGCUACGUGCAAGUGGUAAUUGGUGGUCGCGCUAUGCUGCAUGAUUGGUGGUACAAAGCUCUAAUUAUGCUAGGAAUCGACUCCUGGAGCGAGAUUUGUAAGUUGGAAGGUCAUAAGCUACUCAAAGGGUCAUUUUUGUGCUGACCAGGUCUCAUACCCGAGUGGGUUUUCACAUAUCCGACCGGGUUUGCACUUGGCACUUAGAAGAAUUUGAAGAUGCCAUUUGGAAGAAAAAAUUGCUACUCGCACCCGGGUGGGUUUCCACAUACCCGAUCGGGUGAACAUUACGGUGAUUUGGACAACGUCUCUAAACCCGGGUGGGUUUCUAGACAACCGACCGGGUUUCCAUUGAAGAUCAAGAUGUUCUGCUGCGUACCCGGGCGGAUUUCCUCUUACCCGACCGGGUUUACUCUUGAACUUAGAAAAUUCUUGGUCUUGAAGAUUUAGCUGUGCUGCGCACCCGGCCGGGUCCUGUAGUUAUUUUUGAUAGUAACUUCCCAUAUCCUCCGAUCUCUUUUUAGAAGGAUAUAAAUAGAUUUUGAGGGGGAAUUUUGGGACGGUUUUUUCUCUGUUCGUAGGGUUUGGUAUUGAAGGGAUUUCUCAACUACUUGCCUUGGGGGGAUUGCUAAUCAACACUUCGACAUUGUAAUUUUAAUGAUAUUGAGGGUAUUAGUUUCAAUUCUAAUUUCUUGUUCUUGUUCAUUAUUGUUAUCUUUGAAUGCUUGUUUCUCCAUUAAAUUUGAAUUUGAUUUUCUCCAUGAAUUUCAUUGU